AACGUACGCUGGCGGCACGCCUAACACAUGCAAGUCGAACGAAGUAGCAAUACUUAGUGGCAGACGGGUGAGUAACAUGUAGGUAUCUGCCCUUUGGCCUGGAAUAACACGAGGAAACUUGUGCUAAUACCGGAUAAGUCUUUACGGAGAAAGCUUUAUGCACCAUUGGAUGAGCCUGCACUUGAUUAGUUUGUUGGUGGGGUAAUGGCCUACCAAGACUGUGAUCAAUAGCUGAUUUGAGAGGAUGAUCAGCCACAUUGGGACUGAGACACGGCCCAAACUCCUACGGGAGGCAGCAGUGGGGAAUCUUGCACAAUGGAGGAAACUCUGAUGCAGCGAUGCCGCGUGAGUGAAGAAGGCCUUUGGGUUGUAAAGCUCUUUCGUCGGGGAAGAAAAUGACUGUACCCGAAUAAGAAGGUCCGGCUAACUUCGUGCCAGCAGCCGCGGUAAUACGAAGGGACCUAGCGUAGUUCGGAAUUACUGGGCUUAAAGAGUUCGUAGGUGGUUGAAAAAGUUGGUGGUGAAAUCCCAGAGCUUAACUCUGGAACUGCCAUCAAAACUUUUCAGCUAGAGUAUGAUAGAGGAAAGCAGAAUUUCUAGUGUAGAGGUGAAAUUCGUAGAUAUUAGAAAGAAUACCAAUUGCGAAGGCAGCUUUCUGGAUCAUUACUGACACUGAGGAACGAAAGCAUGGGUAGCGAGGAGGAUUAGAUACCCUCGUAGUCCAUGCCGUAAACGAUGUGUGUUAGACGUUGGAAAUUUAUUUUCAGUGUCGCAGCGAAAGCGAUAAACACACCGCCUGGGGAGUACGACCGCAAGGUUA
rnacentral:rRNA from 1 species